UACGUAGGGUGCAAGCGUUAAUCGGAAUUACUGGGCGUAAAGCGUGCGCAGGCGGUGAUGUAGACAGAUGUGAAAUCCCCGGGCUCAACCUGGGAACUGCAUUUGUGACUGCAUCGCUGGAGUGCGGCAGAGGGGGAUGGAAUUCCGCGUGUAGCAGUGAAAUGCGUAGAUAUGCGGAGGAACACCGAUGGCGAAGGCAAUCCCCUGGGCCUGCACUGACGCUCAUGCACGAAAGCGUGGGGAGCAAACAGG
rnacentral:rRNA from 1 species